rnacentral:rRNA from 1 species
UACGUAGGGGGCAAGCGUUGUCCGGAUUUAUUGGGCGUAAAGAGCGUGUAGGCGGCCAGGUAGGUCCGUUGUGAAAACUGGAGGCUUAACCUCCAGCUGUCGAUGGAAACCAUCUGGCUAGAGUCCGGAAGAGGAGAGUGGAAUUCCUGGUGUAGCGGUGAAAUGCGCAGAUAUCAGGAAGAACACCCGUGGCGAAGGCGGCUCUCUGGGACGGUACUGACGCUGAGACACGAAAGCGUGGGUAGCAAACAGG